UUUCAUAGCUGAGACAACUGGGGUAGAGGCUAGGAAGACAAGCUGUAGACCAAAGACAAGGUUGGGCUGGAAAAUAGCAGCUAGACAUGGAGCAAGACAUGGAGUUGUGUGACCUGGGAUCCUCUGUUUUAUUAGGUCAGUCAACUGGUUAGCAUGGUACUGGAUUCAGAGGGGUUCUUUCUGUUGAACUCACCUAGGGUAGUGGAUUUAAGGGCCUCAGAGGCUUAACCCCUGAAAAGAAUUCCAAAUCUGGGAGGUGGAGAGAAAAGAGAUUUUUGCUUUAAUGCAGCCCAAAGACAAUCUCUAUGACUUUAGUAACUCUUCAAUAUGGUAGUGCCAAUAGCGGAGAGAUGUCAUUGAUCUUCCUAGUGGUGUGAGCGCCAUGGGAAAAGAGAGGGGCAGUGAGUGGGACAUGGGAUGGGCUUUAUAAAAAAUAGAUUUCUAACUCUGCAAGGUGCACCGGUACAGCCUCGAAGGACAACAUUGCAAGGAGGUGGGUGACAGGUGUCCAGGCCAAGCUCUGUCCUUUGGGACCCGAGGUCAGGCCAUUCCCUCCUUGGUUUGCUCGUAAAGGAUGAGCAUGUAACGUGGGAUCAAGAGGGAGAAUGGGUGCACUCCCUCAGGCUGUUAAAACGCUGCCACCUGCAUUGCAAAACAUGUGAGUCCAGGUGCAUGAGACAUGUCCUCGCGGGCAGCCAGCCUGGCGCCCCUUCAUAAGUGUUUGAACAGCAGCCAGUGCUGGCCCACCCAGAGAAUCGGUGCAUCUCUCCUACAGCCAGAGCUCAGCACUGCAUGUUGACCAGAUGGAUAUUCUGUAAUAUAAAUGCUCGUUUGGAUCCAAAAGGAAAACCAUUAAAAAUAAAAGAAAGAUGAACAACUUGAAUGUUAUUUGGGGAGGGGGUCAAAGAAGAGAAUAAAUAAAACCUUGUUGUAAAGAAUUAA